AAAUUCGUAAAAAAAUUUUAAAUAUUAUAUAGAGCUGUGUUCAAUGAAAUAUCAAAGCGAGAAAAUCUAAGAAAUAGAACGGUAUUUUUCCAUGUCCCGUUUUGUGUUCGACUUUUUAUUCCACUUAUUUUCGUAAAAUAGAAUGUGUGGAUAGAAAAAAAAGGAAGUCCCGUUAGUUUUUUAUGUUAUCCUUUUUUCUUUUCAUUCUUGAGCAAAUUCACAACUUUUUGGCUGUUCAUUAGAAUAUCAGUGUCCCGAAAUUAUUAAUAUAUUCUAAAAAAGUGUGUUUGGUUAAGUCAAUUCGUAUAUUUAAAUAAAUUAAAAAAAUUUUAAAAAAUUAUAUUUUAGUGGGUACAGCACUGCUCCCAGGAGAAAAGAAUGGUAAUUCUUAAGAUAAGAAAUUAAAACAUAUAAGGACAUUCAAAAAACCCUUGAAUGUUCUGCCAAAAUGUAUCCAAUGCCAUUAAAUAGGAAUGGAAGCCCGAAAACCGUGGUACCAUACGUAAAACCACAGAUAUAGAGGAUUGACGCAUUGUUUCUUACAGCAAAGUCUAUCCUUUUGCAUCCGUUAGGGACAUAAAGUCUGAGAUGAACUUGGGAAUCAGCGACGUUACUCUUCGGAGACGACUACUGAAUCAAAAUUUUAGUGCGAGCAGUCCACGAAAGGUUCCCCUACUUAGCCCAAGGCAUAUUAAGGCAAGGUUAAGCUUUGCUAAAACCUACCUUAACUGGCCAGUCUCCAAAUGCCGUAAUAUCCUUUGGACUGAUGUGUCAAGAAUAGUGCUAUUUGGUGGAACUGGUUCACUACAGUAUAUCUGACGACCUCAAACACGGAGUACCAAAAACACCCACUGAAGACUUUCAAUUAAUGGACCCAAAAUCCUGACCAAAACGCAUAUGUAAAUAUACUUAGUGAUGUCUUACUGUCAUAUGCUGAAUGGAAUAUGCCCUUAAAUGGAUAUUCCAAUAGGAUAAGCAAGAAGUAUCGGCAAGUUGUGCAGGAUGCACGGGAAAAAAAAAAAUUGCCCCCAAACGUUGCACGACCUGGUGGACUCCAUGUCGCGUAGGUGUAAGGCUGUGCUGGCUUACAAAGGCUGUCCAACCAAGUAUUGAAUACCAAUUAACACAUUAAAAAUCAAAACUAAGUUCUAAGCCAUGUUGAAUUUUGUUAAUUUUUUUUUAUAGAGCUGAUAUUUCAGUGAUCAUCAGAAUUUCUGCCUAUUAUAUUGUUUUAAUCUAAAUUUUCGAAAUUAUUGAAGGAAUUAAAGUGAAACAUUUCUUGAAUUGUAUAAAAUUAAAUACCUUAUGAUACUAUAAAAAAAAUGUGCCCGUAAAUCAUAGAAAUUGUUUUCUUAAACAAGUCUUGCUAUUUUUAUGAACACAGCUGUAUAUUAAAUUAUAUUAAAUCAUAAUAUUUUAUUAUAUGUACUAUAUAUUGUUGAGAAUAUUAAUAUUACUGGCAUCGAUGCAUGUCCUCUUUUAAAUUACGUUUGGUAACCCCUGACUAGAACUUCGCUUUUUGUGUAAUCGAUUUGUGAGCCGUAAUCCGUAGUCGAAUGAAGUUAUAAUACAUGUACUCUAUAUCAAAUAAAGAUUCUUACGUGUAAAAAGAGUGCGUGUGAAAUUGUAUAAUUCGUCAGUAGAAUAUUCUGGAGUUUCUGGACACGCAUGUACAUAUAUGUAUAUGUAUGUAUUGAUAGACUCGGUGUGUGAAAAACACGUGUUUUUAGCAGAUCUUGUGAAAGUGAAUUGUUCGUGCGCGAUUACUCUGGACUUUCUGGACAAGUGAUGAUCAGUAGUAGCAGUACGACGCCAAAGACGAGAAAGCGCUUGCGAGCAUCAUGCUGUGCAUAAAUCCGUCACAAAUAAAUAAUGUGAAGCACUGUAAAAGAGCGUUGGAAGCAUGGAACAAUUAAAGGAAAUACAUACGCCAAAAGGCACCGCGCGUCGUGUUAAUUUGUUUAACCAAUUGUAACAUAUGAAAAUAUGUGCAAAUGAGAGCAUUGUAACGCAUGUGAAUAGUUUUUGCGAUAUAGUUGGAAAACUGCAAGAAAUAGAGUUAACGGUUACUGAUGAAAUGCUUGCGAUCAUUUUGUUGUCAAGUUUAAAUGACUCAUUCGAGAACUUUGUUGUUGUAAUCGAAUUGCGUGACGUAUUGCCAAAUUGCUUGAAGAAGGCGAAAGAAGGAAGGCAUGUGAUGAAUACACAGAGACAAGUGAGCAGAAAAUAUUGGCAGCACGUACGGAUAAACGGCCAAGCCAGUCAAACGGUUUUUCAAACGCACAAUCGAAUGUCACUUGUUGGUCGUGUGGUCGUCGCGGACACAUUGCGGCAAAUUGUAAAGUGACAGAGAAGUUAACUAAACCAGAAGAAGAUAAGUCCGUAAAAAAAAACAAAUUUCACUGUUUUGACUGUGGCUACGAACAAUGUGCGCUUAUAUUGGCGCAAGCGAUCUUUUGAUUUGAUCAACGUUUUGUACGUGAAAGAACUGCAGUGCAAUUUUAUGUCUGUCGCGAAAGCCAACAAAAAUGGACUUAAAGUAAUAUUUGAAAAUAAUGAAGUGAAAAUAAUGGGCAGACAUGAA